UGAUAUGUUUGGUUUAUUGGUGAGUGUAAACUGAUUUCUAACACCAUUAGCCUAAUGUAUCGUG
rnacentral:pre_miRNA from 1 species